GAUGAACGCUGGCGGCGUGCCUAAUACAUGCAAGUCGAGCGAACAGAUGAGGAGCUUGCUCCUCUGACGUUAGCGGCGGACGGGUGAGUAACACGUGGAUAACCUACCUAUAAGACUGGGAUAACUUCGGGAAACCGGAGCUAAUACCGGAUAAUAUAUUGAACCGCAUGGUUCAAUAGUGAAAGACGGUUUUGCUGUCACUUAUAGAUGGAUCCGCGCCGCAUUAGCUAGUUGGUAAGGUAACGGCUUACCAAGGCAACGAUGCGUAGCCGACCUGAGAGGGUGAUAGGCCACCCGGGAACUUAGACACGGUCCAGACUCCUACGGGAGGCAGCAGUAGGGAAUCUUCCGCAAUGGGCGAAAGCCUGACGGAGCAACGCCGCGUGAGUGAUGAAGGUCUUCGGAUCGUAAAACUCUGUUAUUAGGGAAGAACAAAUGUGGAAGUAACUAUGCACGCCUUGACGGUACCUAAUCAGAAAGCCACGGCUAACUACGUG
rnacentral:rRNA from 1 species